rnacentral:tRNA from 1 species
GCAUCUGUAGCUCAGCAGGAUAGAGCGAGCCCCUCCUAAGGGUUAGGUCGUAGGUUCGACUCCUAUCAGGUGCG